AGACAUGUACCCUAAUCAAGGGAGUUAUAGUGAUAAUAUAGAACAUAAGGAGAACCCCUUCAUGCC
rnacentral:tRNA from 1 species